GAUGAACGCUGGCGGCGUGCCUAAUACAUGCAAGUCGAGCGAAUGGAUUAAGAGCUUGCUCUUAUGAAGUUAGCGGCGAACGGGUGAGUAACACGUGGGCAACCUGCCCCUAACUUUGGGAUAACUACUCGAAAGAGUAGCUAAUACCGGAUAUGAAGUCUGUAGGCAUCUACGGACUUGGAAAGUUUUUCGGUUAGGGAUGGACCCGCGGCCUAUCAGCUUGUUGGUGAGGUAGUGGCUCACCAAGGCGACGACGGGUAGCCGGCCUGAGAGGGCGACCGGCCACACUGGGACUGAGACACGGCCCAGACUCCUACGGGAGGCAGCAGUGGGGAAUAUUGCGCAAUGGGCGAAAGCCUGACGCAGCAACGCCGCGUGCGGGAUGAAGGCCUUCGGGUUGUAAACCGCUUUCAGCAGGGAAGAAGCGAAAGUGACGGUACCUGCAGAAGAAGCACCGGCUAACUACGUGCCAGCAGCCGCAGUAA
rnacentral:rRNA from 1 species